rnacentral:rRNA from 1 species
GUGGGGAAUAUUGGACAAUGGGCGAAAGCCUGAUCCAGCCAUGCCGCGUGUGUGAAGAAGGUCUUCGGAUUGUAAAGCACUUUAAGUUGGGAGGAAGGGCAGUAAGUUAAUACCUUGCUGUUUUGACGUUACCGACAGAAUAAGCACCGGCUAACUUCGUGCCAGCAGCCGCGGUAAUACGAAGGGUGCAAGCGUUAAUCGGAAUUACUGGGCGUAAAGCGCGCGUAGGUGGUUUUGUAAGUUGGAGGUGAAAUCCCCGGGCUCAACCUGGGAACUGCCUCCAAAACUACAUGACUAGAGUACGGGAGAGGGUAGUGGAAUUUCCUGUGUAGCGGUGAAAUGCGUAGAUAUAGGAAGGAGCACCAGUGGCGAAGGCGACUACCUGGACUGAUACUGACACUGAGGUGCGAAAGCGUGGGGAGCAAACAGGAUUAGAAACCCCAGUAGUCC